AAUAUUUUGUAAUGUUCCAUGCUUGGAUAAUUUGAUUGAAUGUUUGAAAUACUAUAUGAAGUUAUUUUAUGGUAUUAUUGAAAAGAAAUUUUAGAUUUGUCGUUCACAAUCAUCUUUGAAAUCUGAAAGUUGAAUAAAUUUGUAAAAAGGAGAAGAGAAGUAUAUCUCUAUUUAGGCAAAAUGAAUUGAUUUUGUUUUAUCUUUCAACUUGCCUAAUUUUGGUAUAUAAU
rnacentral:lncRNA from 1 species